CACGGGGGGAGCAAGCGUUGUUCGGAAUCACUGGGCGUAAAGGGCGUCUAGGCGGUCAAGUAAGUGGGAUGUGAAAUGCCCCGGCUCACCCCGGGGACCGGCAUCCCAUACUGUUUGGCUUGAGUACGGGAGAGGGUAUGGUGGGAAUUCCUGGUGGUAAGCGGUGGAAAUGCCGUAGGAGAAUGCGGAGGAACACCGAUG
rnacentral:rRNA from 1 species